rnacentral:tmRNA from 1 species
GGGGGCGCACUGGUUUCGAUCCGAAGCUGGUUAUACGUUCUGCACGCCGAGGAUGAUCAGUUGGCCUCUUAAAAAAUCUGGUCAACCAAAUAAAUGCAAAAAAUGCAACAUUUGCAGCUAGCCUCGGCGAAACUGCAGCACUCGCAGCUUAAUUAAUCUGCGACGUUCCUACACUCACGCCUAUUAGGUGUAAGAACGACACUAGUAGGCUCGUUCCAAAGCGGAGAGACCGCGCUAGGGAACAAAAUAUUUCGCGGGCUCUCGGAGAAGGGUAGCGCGGUGUAUCGUAGCCACUCUCCUAAAUAAAAAAUACACAUAAGCAUGUAGACGGGCGUAUUUGUUAGUCUCGGACACAGGGGUUCAACUCCCCUCGCCUCCACCA